GCCAAAGUGGCGGAAUCGGUAGACGCAGCGGAUUCAAAAUCCGCCGGUAGCAAUACUGUGUGGGUUCGAGUCCCACCUUUGGCACCA
rnacentral:tRNA from 1 species